CUCGUAGGUGGCCAACUAAGUCAGACGUGAAAUCCCUCGGCUUAACCGGGGAACUGCGUCUGAUACUGGAUGGCUUGAGUUUGGGAGAGGGACGCGGAAUUCCAGGUGUAGCGGUGAAAUGCGUAGAUAUCUGGAGGAACACCGGUGGCGAAGGCGGCGUCCUGGACCAACACUGACACUGAGGAGCGAAAGCCAGGGGAAGGCAAACG
rnacentral:rRNA from 1 species